rnacentral:ncRNA from 1 species
UGGUGAGUAAGUCUUGCCCGAAAGGAUGAGGCCUGUGGAGACAGGAUGGGAGCGAGUAGGGCAAGGUUCACCA